rnacentral:miRNA from 1 species
UAAAUGCGCCAUGAUUUGCACU